GCCGCUUUAGCUCAGUUGGUAGAGCACGUCAUUCGUAAUGACGGGGUCAGCAGUUCGAGUCUGCUAAGCGGCACCA
rnacentral:tRNA from 1 species